UGCUCUUCCUGGGGCCCAGGCCAACCCCCUUCUCACUGGCCCCACCUGGGAGGUCCCAGCACUCACUCUUCUUCUGGGCCGCCCGGAGGAGGCUGUCAAAG